UGAUAUAUGCUGAGAAUUUUCAUUUUGACUUCAGAUAUCUUCAGCCUUGUCAUUUCUAGUAUGCAAAUGAGUUCUCUGGUAAAACCUACGUUGCGGGAUACUCUUUUGCUCAUUGGACCUGAGAGGGAGGAUGAGCAAGUGAGGCAACAUAUCAUUGAAGACUAGUGAGAUGUUUUUUGGACCGUGGAAAGUCUUAGAGGUAUUAAGACUUUAUAAGAAGCAGUGGUCUGUAUGUCCCUAGUUGGAUAGUUUAUUUUGUACAUCCUUGAUUUCUGCAAGAAAUAGAACUUCUUAUUAAGACAAGAAAUGAAAUUUGUCAGGACUGAAGUUUUUUAUGGAAGUUUAUUAUUUUAAUUCUAUGUUGAUGCUCGUGACCUUUGUGAUGUCCUUUUUCAGACAUUACUAACUGGCAUAGGCCUGUGUUGCCUCAGAAACAUGGAUAAAGUAGUAUAGGAAUUGAAAUAUUCUCUGAUGAUUAAUAUUCAGUUAUUUUGUUUGUUGCUUAAUAAGAUGGUGUUCUAUCAUUUUCAAUUGAAAUGGUGUUAUGCCAACCAGAACUUACAGCUAAACUGUUCUGCACAGGUGCCAUGGUGGAACCAUUUGGCUCUUAUGUAUCUAAGCAUUUGACCAGAACAUAUCUAUAGAGAUACAUAGAGGUCGCAUAUUUUAACUAUUUGGAGAAACCAGAAGGAAAAUUUACUAGAAACUGUACUAGAAGCUCUCAGAAGUGAGGGUACCUGCCUCCUUUUUAGUAAUCUGCUUGACAAUUGACAUAUAGGUGUGUUGACUAAAUCAUUGUGAGAUAAUUUAUUUAAGGUUGAUUUUUCAGGAAAAACUAGAGACCUCUUUCAGAAUUUAGCUGUUAAAAAUUCAAAUAACUUGACACUGAAUAGUACUUUCUUUGUUCCAUACAGGUUUGAGAACUGCAGCUGUUGAACAAAUUGCAAGAACAUUUGCUGCAGACAAAAACUGGUUUAAACGGUCUAGGCGGAGAAAUGAAAGUUCUCUGAUCUGCUCGUUUCAUUCUUUGCAAAGGUAUUUUUACACAUUUUCGGUUAAACUAUAUAUUCUGCUCUACAUUCAAUUUAUCUAAUAAAGUGGGAUGUUGGUAUGACUACUGGUGAACUUUCUUCCCACAAUGAGAACUCUGUAGCUGCUUAAUCAAUGCAUGUUUAGCUCCUUUUUCACUUCUUACAAAUUUAUUCUUAGGUUGAGGAUCCUUUUGAGCAGCCUAAUAAUACUGCAAGGCCUAUUACCAACAACCUUCAGACAGAAACACUGGGGGAAACUAUGACGGGAGUCAUCCACAGGUCAACAGAGAAGCAUCAGCACCAUCACAGUCGCAUCUAACUUAAUAUGUAAUGAAUGAUAAACGUUCUAACAUUGCGACUGUCAGCAGACCAGUGCAGACAAUUCAAGCACAACAGAUCUGGAGGGCAAAACCCAAGAGCUAAAUUCCACGAGGAUGGACCUACAGCCUGCCUUCGUAUAUUAAUUAUUGAUAAAGAUAAUAUUGCUUAUUGUUAAUCAAGUCUUUAUAAAUGGUUUGUUGUAAAAAUAACAUUAUAACCAUUAUGUUUAAAGUCAAUGUAAAUGUUUUACAGUAAUAAAUUGUGUGUUGGCCUAGCUUUGGAGCCUGUGGUACAGGUAACAUUACUGUUGUGAGGGUUUCAUAUCAGGGGAAAUGAAUUUUAUUUUGCACUAAAAUAUCCCCUUUAAAAAAGAACCACUCACGAUCACAAUCAUUUGGUUGGGUGGUAUGAGAAAUUGGGUAUGGUUAGUUCAUACACAAUCAUUUGGUUGGGUGGUAUGAGAAAUUGGGUAUGGUUAGUUCAUACAUUUCAUUUUAGUGGAGAUACAUUUCAUUCCAUCACUCGAAUAGAUAGGUGAUAGUCUAACUCUAUAUCCCUCUGGCCUGAUUUGUGAUUCCAAUUCUAUACCAGUCAGAGAACCAACCAAUUUUUAGGAGUCAUAUUUUCUGACACUAGCUUAUGAUUGUCCUUUUAGUUAUUGUAGGAAUUGCAUGAGAUUGUACUAUUCAAUUUAAGUGCUGAGACAAUUGCAUAUACUAACCCUAAAUUAUCAUUCAAAAAUGAUUUUGUCCCACAAUUUUGAAUAAUUCAAAUCGCACCUUAUAAGUUUAACCCGCGAGAAGUUUGCACCCCUUCCGUUAAAUAUACAUAAUUGAUUUCUUUAAUGAAAUAUCAUUUUGAUAUUUUAAAAUAAUAAAACUAUAAUUAGAUAUCUCAAAAGUAUGAUACUCCCUCCGUUUCAAAAUAUAUGACGCUUUGACUUUUUGCACGUAAUUUAAAAUCCUUUGACCAUGUACUUAUAUUUAUUAUUUUUAAAAUUUUAUUUUUUAAGUAAAAGUAUAUAGUCAAAAUUUUAAAGUAUAAACUCUUUUUAAAAGAAAUGAUGAAUCUAGAUACUUGGUCAAAACACUUUGAAAUGUGUGUAAAAAGUCUGACAAAGAUGACAGAUGUAUUUCGAGCUACACACAAUAUGCUUACAUCAAAUUAUUAUAACCAGGCUACCCUUUCCGCUACACUAAUUAGACAAGAUCGAUUGUCACCAGCGAGAAGAUCUAUAUUCCGAAACAUGCCAGGAAACAACCGGAGUCGCCCACAGGUGAACCAAGCUUCAUCAUCACAGUCACAAUCACACCAAACUCUAGAAGUUCCAACAAUGAAAAUAUGAAGAGACCGGUGCAGACUCCUCAUAGUCAAACAAGGCAGAUUUGGAAUGCAAAACCAUCUUAAUCGAACUAGAAAUUUGUAAGAGGUUACAUCACUAAUCGUAUUUGAUAUCGUAUUGUGUGAGGUGGUUGUUUGUAUUGUUUUGGUAAUUUAACACCACUGACGAAAUCGGUAACAUAAAAAAAAUAAUAGUAAGAGCGAUUGUUUUUACGCACAAAAUUAGAUUUAUAUGAUAAUUGAAUCAUUAAAAGAAUUAUAAAUUUAAAUCUUCUAAGUAAAUUUUAGUUAAGUUUAAUAUAAGUAUAAAUUAAUCAAAAUUAAAAUAAUAAAUAUUGUUGAGUCAUGCACAAAUAUAAAAAAUGCGACGAAGAUUGAUGAUUAUUAAAUAAUUUUGAUAUCGAAAAUAUAUAAUUAAUGGAAAUAAAAAUAAAUUAGUUAAUUAUUUAUUUGAGGAAUUCUGAGACCCGAAGAUGAGUUCUAAUUAGAUAAUGAAAAGGAGUCUAAUAAGAUGAGUUAUAAUUGGAUUAUGAAGAAAGUUUGAUUCAAUUAUAUUAUAAACUAAAAAGUUAGUUAAAUUAUGAUUAACUUGUAUGUGGUUAAUAUUUUGGAUAAAAUUUAAUAUGAAUUUUUAGGUGUUGCUUCUAUUGAUCAUAAGAUAAUUCAACUUUACUUACAUUAAAUUAAAUUUAUUUUAAAAUUACUUAAAGUAAAUAUGAAAUUCUAUUAUUAUCUAAUCAAAUUAUUAUAUCAUAUUAUUAUAUAAUAUUCUAACUGGAUAGUGAAAAUGAGCCUAAUUAGAUGAGUUAUAAUUAAUGAAAAUGAAGUGAUUAAUUAUAUUAUUAUAUUAUAUAAAAAAAUUGUAAUGAUUUACUCAUGGUUAAUAUCUUGGUUAAAAUUUAAUAAAAGCAAAGUUGUAGAAUGAACAUUAUUGGUCUAAAAUUUAUGGGUGAACUCUGAUUCGUACUAAAAUAAUUCUUAUUUACUGAUUGGUUAACUGUAUAUUAUGGUACAAGGAAUGUUGAAAAAUUGAAUAUCAUUGAUAUAAAAUUUAGUAAUAACUUCUGAUUAAUUCUAAAAUAAGUCCUCUUUUUUUAGAGUAACUAAGAUAGGAAUUGGUAAAAGAUUGCCAAUGUUUAUGUGUCAUGACAUUUUUAGUUGCCAACUUAUUAGAGCUCCAUGAUUGCCAAUGAGUUGCUACUCAAAGUUGGCAACUACCUCGUUUAGCUAAAAACAAACUACAGUAUUAUCCAAAAACUAUAUUUAACCUUAACCAUUUAUGUAUUUGAAAUAGGUAUACAAUAUUUAUUUAGGGGAGCACAUUGACAAUUUUUAUAGUUGCCAACUAUUGGAGUGUAUUUUACAAAGAGGUUGCAAAUGUGAUAUGAAGGAGAGAUAAAAAAAAUUUUAAUAUAUAUACCAAGUUGGCAAGACUUAGCAACUAUUUUAGCAAAUGCAGACUCAGCAACUAUUUUAGCAACCCUUGUCGGAGAUGGUUAACUGUCAGUUAUGACGGGAAAAAACGGCAUACUGUAGUAGAUUCUUAUACAGUUAACCAAUCAGUAAAUUCUUAUUUACUGAUUGGUUAACUGUAUAUUAUGGUACAAGGAAUGUUGAAAAAUUGAAUAUCAUUGAUAUAAAAUUUAGUAAUAACUUCUGAUUAAUUCUAAAAUAAGUCCUCUUUUUUUAGAGUAACUAAGAUAGGAAUUGGUAAAAGAUUGCCAAUGUUUAUGUGUCAUGACAUUUUUAGUUGCCAACUUAUUAGAGCUCCAUGAUUGCCAAUGAGUUGCUACUCAAAGUUGGCAACUACCUCGUUUAGCUAAAAACAAACUACAGUAUUAUCCAAAAACUAUAUUUAACCUUAACCAUUUAUGUAUUUGAAAUAGGUAUACAAUAUUUAUUUAGGGGAGCACAUUGACAAUUUUUAUAGUUGCCAACUAUUGGAGUGUAUUUUACAAAGAGGUUGCAAAUGUGAUAUGAAGGAGAGAUAAAAAAAAUUUUAAUAUAUAUACCAAGUUGGCAAGACUUAGCAACUAUUUUAGCAAAUGCAGACUCAGCAACUAUUUUAGCAACCCUUGUCGGAGAUGGUUAACUGUCAGUUAUGACGGGAAAAAACGGCAUACUGUAGUAGAGUUGAGUGUUAUAAUAAAUGUUUAUCCAUUUAGAAAAGUGGAAUUAGUUUGGGAUUAAUCAAAGGUCACCCCUAUAUUUUAGACCAAUAAUGUUCAUUCUUCAACUGGGAUUUUAAUAUAUUUUAUACUCCCUCCGUCCCACAAUAGAAGUCUUUUUUGUAAGAAAUAUUUGUCCCAUAAACUUGUCAACUUUUAGUCUCCAAUGCAAUUAUAUUGACAAUAUUCCAAAGUUAAUACUGCAAGGACUGUUACCAACAACCAACUGACAAAGAUGGCAGAUGCAUUUCGAGCUACACACAAUAUGCUUGCAUCAAAUUAUUAUAACCAGGCUACCCUUUCCACUACACUAAUUAGACAAGAUCGAUUGUCACCAGCGAGACGAUCUAUAUUCCGAAACAUGCCAGGAAACAGCCGGAGUCGCCCACAGGUGAACCAAGCUUCAUCAUCACAGUGAUCACAAUCACACCAAACUCGGAAUUUCAGGAAUAAUAGAAGUUCCAACAAUGAAAAUAUGAACAGACCGGUGCAGACUCCUCAUAGUCAAACAAGGCAGAUUUGGAAGGCAAAACCAUCUUAAUCGAACUACUUUGUAACAGGCUACAGCACUGAUCGUAUUUGAUAUCAUAUUGUGUGCGGUGGUUGUUUGUAUUGUUUUGGUAUUGUGUACAGAUGCAUUUGCAUCUCCAAUAAUUAAUUCAAAAGGAUGAUCCCUUGUCCAUUUUUUUUGAGGUGGAAGUGAUUGUCUUGAUGAUGUAGCUUCAUUGUUAUAGUUCAGAUUUCCAUGUUGAAAAACUCCCCCUAAAUUUGACAUCUCAUUAUUUCUAGAUUGAUUAAAAUUUUGAGACACUCUUUCAACUGAUGAUCCUUGAGGGGUUUCAACUGAAGCCUCCAAAGUAGUUUCAACUGAUGCUUCAGUUGAGUUUUCAAUAGCAGUUGUCUCUUGCACCAAGGUCUCAUCAGUUGAAAUAUUAAUUCUAAGGUUAAUUCCAACAUUUUGAACAGAAUCAUCACAAUUAUCAUCACUAUCAUAUAGAUAACCUUCACCUUCAUUCUCAAAUCUGAGAUUAUCAUGAAAUCCUUCAUCUGUCAAUCCUUGAAUCUUUUUAUCAUCAAAAACUACAUGAAUUGAUUCCAUAACAAUGUUGGUUCUCAGAUUGUAUACUCUAAAUGAUUUUCCAUUAGAAUAUCCAACAAAAAUAGCUUCAUCUGCUUUGGCUUCAAAUUUUCAAAGAUUUUCACCUUGAUUUCUUAGAACAUAACACUUACAUCCAAAUACAUGAAGCAAGCUAAUUUUUGGCUUCUUUCCCUUGAAGAGUUGAAAAGGAGUUUGAUUGUGAGGUUUGGUAAUUAGAGAAAUGUUUUGAGUAAAACAAGCAGUGUUCACAGCUUCAACCCAAAAAUAGGUUGGAAGUUGAGCUUCAUUAAUCAUGGUUCUUGCAGCCUCAAUGAGAGUUCUAUUCUUCCUUUCUACCACACCAUUUUGUUGUGGAGUUCUUGGUGCAGAAAACUCAUGAAUAAUUCCCUUAUCUUCACAAAAUUCUUUCAUCACAGAAUUCUUGAAUUCUGUUCCAUUAUCACUUCUUAUUCUUUCAACUUUGACAUCUGGAUUGUUGUCUAAUGCCUUGAUAUGAUUGAUAAUGAUUUUCCCAGCUUCAUCCUUAGAAUGCAGGAAGAAAGUCUAAAUAAAUUUUGAAAAAUCAUCAGCAAUCACUAGACAAUAUUUCUUCUUUGAAAUGAACAUUAUAUUGACUGGUCCAAACAAAUCCAUAUGCAGGAGCUGAAGAGGUUUCAUAAUUGAUGAAAGAGAUUUGCUUUUGAAAGAGCUUCUCUUUUGCUUUCCUAGCUGACAGGCUCCACAAAGUCCAUCUUUUGAGAAUUCCAGCUUUGGUAGACCUCUUACCAAGUCCUUCUUUACUAACUCAUUCAAGGUUUUGAAAUUUAAAUGAGACAAUCUCUUGUGCCAUAGCCAACUGUCAUCUGAGCUUGCUUUGCUGAGAAGGCAAGUGAUAGAUUCAGACUUUACAGAAUUGAAGUCAGCUACAUACACAUUUCCUUUCCUUUGUCCAAUCAGAACCACAUUGUUGUCAUCUCCUUUGGUGACAACACAGGCUGCAGGAGUGAAAUUUACUUUGUAUCCUUUGUCACAAAGUUGACUGAUGCUAAGCAAGUUGUGCUUAAGACCAGACACCAAUGCAACUUCAUCUAUGAUGACAUUCUCUUUUGCAAUCAAGCCAUAUCCCAUAGUAUAUCCUUUGUUGUCAUCUCCAAAGGUAAUGCUAGGGCCAGCUUUCUCUACAAACUUUGUGAGUAGGGAAGAAUUACCAGUCAUGUGCCUGGAGUAUCCACUAUCUAAGUAUCACAAAUUCUUCUUAUGGUUUCCCUGCACACAUUUCAAAAACAGAUCAAGUUGAUUGUGGUACCCAAAUUGCUUUGGAUCCAGAUUUGUUAGUCUUAACAGCUUUUCCUUCAUUCUCAACUUUUCCCUUGGAUUGAGGUGGUUCGAUCUUGGGUUUUGGUUGAGAAAUUGGAAUUUCAACAUUGUUCUUAAACACAGGCAUUUGAGGCAUGCAUACAUUGUUUAUACCAUGCAAGUUUGAAUGGAAUUGAGGCAUGUUAGAAGCAUUGAAAUAUGGAUUGAACAUAUAUGGCAUGCUAGGCUGAGAAUAUGAAUUGUGAGGCAAUAAACCAGGCAUCAUGUUCAUAGCAGAUAAGUUCAUGUGAGGAACAGAUGGCAUGGGAAUAGGCAAUGAUAAAUUGGGAGCAAUCACAGUUUUGCAAUUAGUAGAUAAGUGAUUUACACUACCACAUUUACUGCAAGUUUUCCUAGGAGCACUGGCAUUGGGUGUGUAAUUAGUGUGCUUAUUGACUCCAAUUUUACCAUUUCUAUUCCCUUUCUUCUUCUUAGUCUCUUCUGAUUUAAGCUCACUAGCAUCCAAUUUCUUCUUGGUCUUAUUACUGGAAUUAUGAGUGUUAUUGACACUUUCACUAGUCUCAGAAGAAUUAUUCUCACCUUUAACAAAGUUCUUCUUAACAGGACCAUAUUUCUUGUUGAGUUUCUUGAGAACUUUCUUGUCAACUGAUGAGUUUUUGUUCAACUGAUGAUUCUCUUCAGUUGAAGCUUUACUUUUCAACUGAUGAUCAUCAUCAGUAUUCUCAUCACUUGAACUGAUCUCAGAGAUCUAAAGAGCUUUCUUAUUCCUUUUCCAUUCAUUCUCCACAAAGGUUUCUCUACCUUGCAUGUUGAUGAUAUUAGUGGAAACAUCUCUCCCAUAUUUCCAUUUAGCUAUAAUUUCUUGUUCCUUAUCAAGCUGUUUUCUUAUGAUCUCUUCUCUUUUUAAUACAGCCAAAAGAUCAUCCUUGGCUGUUUGACAUUCAAUCUUCAGUCUCUCAAACUCAAUGAAUUGAGUUUCUAGAGCACUGUUUCUAUCACUAAGAAAGGUGUUAGCUUCCUUAAUUCUACAAUUUUCCUUAGUAAGAGAUUUCAAAGAGACAUGCAAAUGAUAUAACUCAGUAGACAUUUCAUUGAUAGUAGCAUUGCAUUCAUCUUUAGUUAACUCUACUAAGUUUGUAGUGAAUACCUGACUGCUGCUUCCAGUGUUUUCUUCUUGAUCUGUGGAGUUGGCCAUUAGAGCAAGAUUGACAAACUCCUCCUCAUCUUCAGAAUCAUCUCCAGCUGCCCAAUCAUCCUUUGUAAUGAAUGCUCUUUCUUUUUGCUUGAGAAGUUCAUAAUAUUUCUUUUUGUAAUCCAUAUGAUCACUGGAUCUCUUCUCAGCUUUUGGCUUUCUGCAUUCAUUAGCAAAGUGACCUGCAUUUCCACAGUUGAAGCACUUGAAUUUGGAUCUGUCCACCAUGCUUCUAUCAGGCUUGGAGUUGCCUUUAAAUGAUUUUGCAGGGUUGAAAUUCUUCUUGAAUUUCAGUUUGGAGAAUCUUCUUGAUAGGAAGGCUAAGUGCUCAUCAAUCCCAUCACUUUCUUCAUCAGAAUCAGCUACAUCUUUUCCUUUUCUUUUACUUGAUUCUGAGCUCUCUUCUUUGACCAACUUCUCAGUUUCUUCAACCUGAGAUUUUCCCUUGUCCUUGACAGUUUCAUCAAGAGAUGCAACUAAAGCCACAGAUGAAUACCUUUUCUUUUGGAUUUUCUCUAUUUCUUCAUCUUGUUCCAUUUCAAGCUCAUAGGUCUUCAGAGUUCCAUACAGUCUCUCUAGAGUGUAGUCUUUAAAUUCUUGAGUGUUUCUGAGAGAGACUGUCAUGGGUUUCCAUUCUUUGGGAAGAGCUCUCAAGAACUUCAAGUUUGAAUCUUUAACCUGAUAUACUCUUCCAAAAAGUUUCAGGCCAUUUAACAGUUUUUGAAAUCUGUUAAAUGUGUCACUCAAACUUUCACCAGCCUUGAAAUGGAAUGACUCAUAUUGUUGAAUCAGCAACUGCAUUUUGUUUUCUCUUACUUACUCAUUCCCUUCACAGAUGAUCCUGAUGGUGUCCCAAACUUCUUUAGCACUUGUGCCGCUAAUAAUACUAUCAAUCAUUUCUUGAUCCAAACCAUUAAACAGAAGGUUCAUGGUUUUCUUGUCCUUGUGCACUUCUUCAGUAUCUUCUUGAGAAUACUCACGGAUAGGUUUUGGAACCAUUUUUCCUACCAUAUCUUCACCAUCAGCUCCCAUACUGGUGCAGACCUUCAUUGGGACAUGAGGUCCUUUCUCAAUGCAGUUCACAUAACUUUCAUCAAUAGACAACAAAUGCAGAUGCAUUCUUACUUUCCAGUGAAAGUAGUUGUCUUUGUCAAGAACAGGAAUCUUCACUCCAGCAUCCUUCUUUCCCAUCUUUCUUUAGCAGUGUUGAUCUUUUUCCCUGUUUGUUGGGAACCUCGCUCUGAUACCAAUUUUUAUUUUACACCAACUAUAAGAAAGAUUGUAGAAGGGGGGGUUGAAUACAAUCUUUUACAAAAAUAAAACAUUCAAGAACAAACACUUUAAAACAACAAACAGAAAAACACCAAGUAUUAAAAAUACGGGUGGAUUGAAUGAUCCACCCGUGAGAUUUUAUAUAGAAGAAUCUGUGGAUUGUUUACAAUUCGCACAGCUGCUGGUUCAUCACUCAAAAAAGUUCUAACUCUCAGAUUUUUCUCUCAAGUAAUUUGAACAAGUUCAACUGAUGCUACUAACUUGGUUAUAUACUCCAAGUUUUACAAAGCUUUUAGCUAGAUUACAAAAUGCACUCUAAUCUAAAAACAAUGCUGCACAACUUUGUCUUAUGCAUGCUUUCUGAGAUGUCUUCAUCUUUGACCAUCAUCUUGAUUUGAUCCAGAUUGCACUGCAUGAGAUAAGUAUGUUUCUGCUUCUUCUUUAUUUUCCUAAUUAGGCUUCCAUGUCUAUUUUAGUGUAAUUCGAUCCAUGUGAUUUGUCAGACUUAAGCUCUAGUCACUUUCAACUGCUCUUUGCUUCAUCGGUUGAAAGUUCUGGUUACUUUCAACUGCUCUUUACUUCAUCAGUUGAGAGUUCUUUCAUCAGUUGAACGAAUUACAGACUUCAUCAGUUGAAUGUUGUUUCAGUCUCAUCAGUUGAAUUCCUUAGCAUCAUCAGUUGAAUACUUUGUCUUCAGUUGAAUGCUUGGUUUUCAUCAGUUGAAACAUGACCCAGUCUUCAUCAGUUUAAUAGUUACAUCUCAUCAGUUGAAUAUCCUUCACUUAGAUAAAAUUACAUGGCAUUGGAUAUUUACAAUUAGCCAUCCUAUUCUACCCAUCCGUUGAUAAUUCCCAAAGACAAGAAGUAUAACAAUUACAACUGAAAUUUGAUAAAGAUUCUAAAAAAGACAUGUUACAAUAUGUUUAUGUUAUCAUCAAAAAUUAUUGAUUCCUAACAAAAUCCCAAUUGAAUACCUUCGAAAUUUGAAGUAUAAUUUAAAAUCAUGAUCAAAUACCACCAGUUUUUCUAAAUAAUUUAAAAUCUUAAGUGAAUUUCAAAGAUUGUGACAAUUUUUGAAAAUCAGAUUUGAAUCCCCUCAAAUUUAAUGAAUGAAAGAUAUCUUUUAAAAUCUCAAUUGAAUAUACCCCUAAUAAAUGUGGUAGAUGAAAAAAAUCUUUAAAAAUCUCAAUUAAUUAUACCCCUAAUAAAUUUGGUGCAUAAAAAAAUCCCUUUAAAUACACCAUAUGAAUUGACACCAACCCAUGAACAUGUCAAUUUCCUGAAUCCCCAUGAAAGCUCAACCCUAGUUAUGAUCCACACAUGUAUUUAUCGAUUUCCCAUAUCCAUUUUGUCGCCGCCUUGUCAAAUUUUCGUUAGUGCAACAUUUUGUCGAACACUCGGUGGAGAUGAAUGGUUCUCCACCUAUUCCAUGUGUAGUUGUUUCACUUUAACAAACUUAUUAAAUAAUGAAGAAAAUUUCGGCAAAUACGAUAAAAAUAAUGAAGAAAAUGCUCCAUUAAAUAUCAAACACAAAAAUAGCUUCCUCCUUCUGUGGGGUUGUGAGAAUAUUUAAGAUGGCAGAUGCAUUUCGAGCUACACACAAUAUGCUUGCAUCAAAUUAUUAUAACCAGGCUACCCUUUCCCCUACACUAAUUAGACAAGAUCGAUUGUCACCAGCGAGACGAUCUAUAUUCCGAAACAUGCCAGGAAACAACCGGAGUCGCCCACAGGUGAACCAAGCUUCAUCAUCACAGUCACAAUCACACCAAACUCGGAAUUUCAGGAAUAAUAGAAGUUCCAACAAUGAAAAUAUGAACAGACCGGUGGAGACUCCUCAUAGUCAAACAAGGCAGAUUUGGAAGGCAAAACCAUCUUAAUCGAACAAAAAAUUUGUAACAGGUUACAGCACUGAUCGUAUUUGAUAUCGUAUUGUGUGCGGUGGUUGUUUGUAUUGUUUUGGUAAUUUAACACCACUGACGAAAUUGGUAAAAAUACAAAAACUAAUAGUAAGGGCGAUUGUUUUUACGCACAAAAUUAGAUUUCUAUGAUAAUUGAAUCACUAAAAGAAUUAUAAAUUUAAAUCUUCUAACUAAAUUUUAGUUAAGUUUAAUAUAACUAUAAACUAAUCUAAUUUAAAAUAAUAAAUAUUCAUGAGUCAUGUACAAAUAUAAAAAAUGCGACGAAGAUUGAUGAUUAUUAAAUAAUUUUGAUAUCGAAAAUAUAUAAUUAAUGGUGAUAAAAAUAAAUUAGUUAAUUAUUUAUUUGAGGAAUCCUGAGACCCGAAGAUGAGUUCUAAUUAGAUGAGUUAUAACUGGAUUAUGAAGGAAGUUUGAUUACAUUAUAUUAUAAACCAAAAAGUUAUAAGUUAAAUUAUGAUUAACUUGUAUGUGGUUAAAAUCUUGGAUAAAAUUCAAUAUAAAUUUUUAGGCCUUGCCUUUGAUUGAUCAAAAGAUAAUUCAACUUUACUUACAUUAAAUUAAAUUUAUUUCAAAAUUACUUAAAGUAAAUAGGAAAUUCUAUUAUUAUCUAAUCAUAUUAUCAUAUCAUAUUCUAACUGGAUAGUGAAAAUGAGCCUAGUUGGAUGAGUUAUAAUUAAUGAAAAUGAAGUGAUUAAUUAUAUUUUAUAAUAAAAAAAUUGUAAUGAUUUACUCAUGGUUUAUAUCUUGGUUAAAUUUAAUAAAAGCAAAGUUGUAGAAUGAACAUUAUUGGUCUAAAAUUUUGGGGUGAACUCUGAUUAGUCCUAAAAUAAUUCUUAUUUACUGAUUGGUUAACUGCAUAUUGUGGUACAAGGAAUGUUGAAAAAUUGAAUGUCACUGAUUGAAAAUUUAGUAAUGGCUUCUGAUUAAUUCUAAAAUAAUUCUUCUUUUAUAAGAGUGACUAAGAUAAAAAUUGGCAAAAGAUUGCCAAUGUCCAUGUGACAUGACAUUUUUAGUUGCCAAUCUAUUAGAGCUCCAUGAUUGCCAAUGAGUUGCUACUCAAAGUUGGCAACUACCUCGUUUAGCGAAAAACAAACUACAGUAUUAUCCAAAAACUAUAUUUAACCUUAACCAUUUAUGUAUUUGAAAUAGGUAUACACUAUUUAUUUAGGGGACCACAUUGAGAAUUCUUAUAGUUGCCAACUUUUGGAUUGUAUUUUACAAAGAGGUUGCAAAUGUGAUAUGAAAGAGAGAUAAAAUAAAAAAUUAAUAUAUAUACCGAGCUGGCAAGACUUAGCAACUAUUUUAGCAACCCUGGUUGGAGAUGGUUAACUGCUAGUUAUGACGGGAAAUCACUGCAUAUAUAGUGUAGUUGAGUCGGGUAUAUAAUAAAUGUUUAUCCAAUUAGAAAAGUGGAAUUAUUUUGGGAUUAAUCAAAAAUCACCCCUAUAUUUUAGACCAAUAAUGUUCAUUUGGAAUUUUAAUAUAUUUUAUACUCCCUCCGUCUCACAAUAAAAGUCUCUUUUGUAACAAAUUUUUGUACCUUAAACUUGUCAACUUUUAGUCUCCAAUGCAAAUAUAUUGAAAAUAUUCCAAAAUUACCCAUCUUGAAAAUGUAUGACAAUUAAUGAGAGUUAAAUAAGAGUCUACAUUCAUUCAUUUAUUAAUUAGGGGCACAAGUAAGAAAAUAUUAUCUAAUUUAUGCGUUCUUAAAAUGCCCAACUUUUACAAAAGAGACUUGUAUUGUGGGACGGAGGGAGUAUAGUUUAUGAAUAUUAAUUGAUUGUAUCUGAUUUUGAUUUUAUCCGGAUUCUUUAUAAAAUAUCGCAAAGCUGACUAGAGUCUUCAGGAUUUAGGAUUUAAGCACAAUGUUUCGAAAUCUCAUGGAUAUAGGUGGAAUAUCAAAUAUUUUAAAAUACACACAAUCUCAAAAAAAAAAUCAUCAUUUCAUGAAGUCCAAAAAAAUUCAUCACCAUUUGAAUACAAUCAAUUUUUAAUAUAUUAAAAAAAAUCCCAAUUGAAUACCUUCGAAAUUUGAAGUAUAAUUUAAAAUCAUGAUCAAAUACCACCAGUUUUUCUAAAUAAUUUAAAAUCUUAAGUGAAUUUCCAAGAUUAUGAUAAUUUUUGAAAAUCAGAUUUCAAUCCCCUCAAAUUUAAUGAAUGAAAGAUAUCUUUUAAAAUCUCAAUUAAAUAUACCCCUAAUAAAUGUGGUAGAUGAAAAAAAUCUUUAAAAAUCUCAAUUAAUUACACCCCUAAUAAAUGUGGUGCAUAAAAAAAAUCCCUUUAAAUACCCCAUAUGAAUUGACACCAACCCAUGAACAUGUCAAUUUCCUGAAUCCCCAUGAAAGCUCAACCCUAGUUAUGAUUCACACAUGUAUUUAUCGAUUUCCCAUAUCCAUUUUGUCGCCGCCUUGUCCAAUUUUCGUUAGUGCAAUAUUUUGUCGAACACUCGGUGGAGAUGAAUGGUUCUCCACCUAUUCCAUGUGUAGUUGUUUCACUUUAACAAACUUAUUAAAUAAUGAAGAAAAUUUCGGCAAAUAAGAUAAAAAUAAUGAAGAAAAUGCUCCAUUAAAUAUUAAACACAAAAAUAGCUUCCUCCUUCUGUGGGGUUGUGAGAAUAUUUAGAGCUCAAGUCCCAAGAAAUUUGAAAGAGAAGUGGGAUCUACGAAGCAAUCAAGGCCUCAACAUAUAGUGUUCCAAGGGACAAGAUGUUGAUCUUGGGUCUUGCUGAGUUUUGGUGUUGUGAUACAAACACAUUUGUUUUUCCAUGGGGUGGGGUAACUAUCACUCUUGAAGAUAUUAUGCAUUUAGGGUCUUUGUCUGUUUAAGGUUGCUCUAUUUCAACUCCCAGUAAUGAUGAAUGUGUUCAUGUUUAUAAAUGUUUGAGAAGUGAAAUUAAGCAAGUUAAAUUUGCUAGUGGUGGAUCUAUGAAUCCUUCUAUGUGGAUGGAGUAUUUUAUGAAUAGUGUUAAGGAUGUAAAUAUGCAAUGUUGUUAUUCAUUUGUCUGGAGGUAAUAGGGUUGCCCUUGCGCCCGUUGUUCUUGUAUGUAUUUAUGGAAAUAUAACACGUGUCAUCCACGAGUGAUUUAUAAUAUUUGUAAUUUUAUCAUUUAUUUCUUAAAUUUAAUUGAAAUACAAAUAAAUUAUACUAACCGAAUCUUCAAAAAAGAUACUCCCUCCGUCCCUCCCAUUUCUUUCCACUUUCCUUUUUGGGACGUCCCAUCCAAUUCUUUACAUUUCAAAACUUACCAAAAAUAGUCAAUGGGUCCCACCACUUCUCCACUUUUCUUUCCUUUUCACACUACUUUUACUCCACUAUCUUCUUUUUAUACAUUAAAAAUCAAUGGGUCCCACCACUUUACCCACUUUUCAUCCUCUUUUCAACUAAUUUAUACAUAUUUCUUAACCUUCGUGCCCAACCCAUUCGAUAAGAAAUGGGAGGGACGGAGGGAGUAUUUAAUUAUAUAAAGGAUAUUUAAUUAUAUAAAAGAUGAUAGGUUUAUUUAAAAAGAAAAAUUGAUUAUAUAAGAAGGUCCAUAAUUCGGCUGAAGUACUGACCGACCAAAAUUUUAAUAUUUCAACCUUAAUAAUAUAAUAUAGAAGUAUAGAUGAGAGUGUUAGGACGGACCCAAUUUUGUAAAAUUGCCAGGGCUGAACCAAAUUUUUUUCGCCAACAUUUUAAAAUUUAAUAAGUCGCCCAACGAAAUGAUGUCUUGACAUCCCAAUGUUUUCUUUUGUUAGUUUUCAUGUACAAUUGUAAAUGAGUGCUAAGAUCUGUAACCCCCAUGCAAGGAUGCAAGUCGAACAAUAUCCACAAAUGAUGUCAAAUUUAAGAUACUUGCAGUAAUAUUAUUUUAAUGAUGUCUUACAACACUUAACAUCUUGUACAUGUGCCUUAUUUUCAAGACAUUGCAUUAAAAAUUAGUUUCAUUAGUAAAAUAGCAUGAGAUUUCAUUAGAUAAUAUAAUACAACAAAGACGAAGAACAUAAUUAAUAAAAUUACAUUAUAUUAUAACUAGUAAAAAGAAUAUUGUGCGAUCACAUAGUUGAUAAAUAAUAGAGUAAUUUAAAAAAAAAUUCUAAUAUUAAAUUUCGAUAUUGUAAAAUGAUACUAUAUUUCCAACUAUAUAUACAAUAUUAUACAUGUUAGAAAUAUAAAAUUUUAAUACUAAAUUUAUAUCUGAUUUUUUAAAUUUAAAACCUCUAUUUAUAUCUGAUUUUUUUGUUAAAGUUUAGACUUAUAAUUUUUUCUUUUUAUGCGUCUAAUUCCCCAAUAAGAGAGAGUUUUGAUUUUUUUUCAUUUAAACCAUAUGCAAAUCUAGCAAACCCAAUCAUGUACAUAAGUCACAGGGCUCAGUUAUUUUAUCUUAGGGCUGAUAGAAUAAGAAGAGUUCGAAUUUUGACCCGGACCGGAGCCAAAGUUGAAAGUUUCACGGUUUGUGAAGCUUCUUGAAGCUGGUAAUCAAUUAUACAAUUCUAUCUUCGCAUCAUUCGAUUCUUGUUUUUAAAUAGGGUUAAAUAGCUAAUUCACCACUAACCUGACUGGAAACUUGCAACUGAGCAAUGUUGUUGAAAAAACUUUCAAACGCAUCACCAAAUAAUUAAAAACUUUCAAAAUCAUCAUUCUCCGUCAGUUCCGUUAAGUAGUUAACGGAAAGUUCAAAAAAGAAAUAAAAAAAAAUUGGAAAAAUUGGAAAAAAAUAAUGAAAAAUUCUGAAAAAUUCAACAAAACCUGACUAUUAUUUUUUUGAAAAAUGUGAAUAAAAUAAAAGAAAAUCAAAAAAUUAAAAAAAUGGAAAACAAAACGUUUCAAACCUUUUUUUAUUCUUUUCAAUUUUUCUAAAACACGAAAAAAAACUUGCCACCUAAUUUUUUUCAAAAUUUUUCAAAUUCUUUUAAGAUUUUUGAAUUUUUUUCAGAAUAUUUUUGAACUUUAGAAUUUUUUUUCAGAAAUUUUUGAAUUUAUUAUGAAUUUUUUGUUUUAUCUCCAAAUUUUUCUGAAUUUUUUAAGUGUUUUUCAGAUUUUUUUCAUUUUUAAAAAAAAAUAUUUUUGAACCGUUAAUUACUUAACGGAACUGACGGAGAAUGAUGCUUUUGAAAGUUUUUAAUUACUUGAUGAUGCGUUUGAAAGUUUUUUCAACAACAUGACUCAGUUGCAAGUUUUGAGCCAGGUUAGUGAUGAAUUAGCUAUUUAACCCUUUUUAAAUAUAAGCAAAGAAGGUUCUUUUUGACUUUAAGAUAUGUUUAGUCACCGCCUUAGUCGAAUUUUCGCUAGCGCCUCUUGAUCACUUGGCGGAGAUGAAUGGUUCUCCACUUGUUCGAUGUGUAGUUGUUCCACUUUAUCAAGCUUCUUAAAUAAUGAAGAAAAUGCUCCAGUAAAUAUCGAGAUUCGAGCCGUGAUGACUCCUUUUAAGGUAAUUUUUUUUUUCCUUUUUGUCAUUUAAUUGACGCCUCUUAAACAGUGCUAUGGUGCUUGCUAUAGAGACGAAUUAGUUGUUAAUUUUUUGCGAUUUAGGGCGGAGAGGAUUGAGAGUGCUUUUCAUUUAAGAUUGGGAUGAAGCAUCGUAUCGAUUGGAUGGUUAUUUUGUACUCUUGGCCACUUUAGAUUGAUUAAAUCGAGACAUCUAAAAGCUGAUAUUAUAUGAUGAUACUUGCAAUUUUAUAUGUGCACAUCCGAUACUUGUUUUUUGAUAUAAGCUCUUGAGCCUUUCCUUAUUUAUCAGUCCUUUGGUGCUGUGGUACAGAUACUUUUUUUUUCCAUGGGGUGAGGUAACUAUCAGUCUUGAAAAUAUUGUGCAUUUAGGGUGUCUGUCGUUUUUAGGUUGCUCUAGUUCAACCCCAUGUGAUGAUGAAUGUGUUGAUGUUUAUAAUUGUUUGAGAAGUGAAAUUAAGAGUGUUAAAUUUACUAAUGCUGGAUCUGUGACUCUUCAAUGUGGAUGGAGUAUAUUAUGAAUAGUGGUAAGGAUGUAGAGCAUGAAGCAUUUCUUGUAUUUUGGCUGUGUAAGUUUGUUUUUGUGCGCACUCAGAUACUUGUGCAGGAUUUGAAUGUUGCUUUUCAUUUGUCUUAAUAGGGUUGCCCUUGCUCCUGUUCUUGUUUGUAUUUAGGGUUUACUUUUUUGGGCGCUAAAACCGGCCCAAUAACAUUAAUUACAUUGCACUUUUCUUAGCUUCAAUAAAGCAAGCUUUUCUAAUUGCUUCGUGCCUGGCCGUGCUUUGCACUUCAUGGCCUCCAACGCGCGCUUGUUUGAAGUUGGGCCAAGUGUGUAGAUUUUCCAUGAUGAUUAAUUAUUUAUCUAUUUUAAGCGAUCCUUAAUUGGAGAAAAUGUAGUAUUUCUGUUUGUUACAAUUAUAAUGGUGUUAUGCCUUGAAAAACCACUAUUUAACUGUUGUACACAGGUGCAAUGGUGGAGUCAAACUAUUUGGCUCGUUUGUAGCUGAACUAUUCAAGAAAUGGUGAGAUUUGGAUAUAUCUAUAGAGAUACAUGUUUUCAUAUCUCAAGCACAGCAAGAAAGCCGAAGGAAAGUUUGCUUGCAGAUUUACUUGGAGCUCUUAGAAGGAAAGGUAAUCUUUUUUCAAGAUAUAGAACUCCAUGCAUAUUGUGAAAUUGUUGCUGCCCUUGUGAUAUCUCACAUUAUUUAGUAAAACAAUCAAUUUAUCAAAUUCCAAAUACUAGUUCUCCGCAUCAUCCUAUACUUUUUUCUUAAGUUGAGGAUCUUUUUGAGCAGCCUGUUAAACCUGCACGGGCUGUUGCCAACAACCAUCUGACAAGAAUGGCAGAUGCAUUUCGAGCUUAACACAAUAUGCUUCCAUCAAAUUAUCAUAAUCAGGCUACUGUCUCCCCACACUAAUUAGACAAGAUCGACUGCCAUCUGCAAAACGGUCACCGGACAGAAAGAAACAUGGAAAAAACCGGUGGCGUCCACAGGUAAACCGAUCAUCAUCAUCAUUAUUAUCAGUGUCAAACUCAGAAUUUAAGGAAUAAUAAGCAUUCAUUUUCUGUGUUGAUUGUUUGUAUAGUUUUGGUAAGCAUCCAAGACCACUGAUGAAGUCUGUAAAUUUUCUUUAUAUCUCAUUCCAUCAGAAAUUUGAUAAGCCAAAGAGUGAGUAGUUUGGGCGAAUAUGUGAACACGCAGUAGUUUUAGCAAUAUAUUUUUGGAUCAUAUGCUUUUGAUGAUUUUGAUUCGAAGCAUAAGUAAUUUCAGAACUUAGGAUUGUUUAAUCUUACUUUCCUUUGAAAUCACACUUAAUUAAUUUAAACUUCAUAUCUAAAUAUUGAAUGAUGGUAGAAUGAAUAUGUAAUCUAGAAAUUAAGAAAAUUAAAUUCUUGAAACAUUCUAUAUCAUUUGUGUAACACUAUGUUUCAUGAACAACAUAGAUUAAUUAGGUCAACUUUCAUGCUCUUCAUGAACCCUAAGCGAAAAUGUGUUCGUCUUUGAGAGAAAAAAUCUGACAAAUCAAUAUCAGUUCAGAAAUUAUUUACGCAAUUAUAAUUAGUAGUAUUUAUUGAAUCCGCGUGUUUAUGUUGUAAUUGCAUAAUAAUCAUUGACCGAACAUCAGCGGAUACAGAAAAUGAUACUUGCAUGAUACACUAAACCUGGAGAACAAAGGCAUUCUAUAUUACUCUACUGCCGUCAAAUGGAGAUAUAAAGAUUCUUCAUUAUUAUCAAAUUACCUUAAUGCUUAAACUAGAUAAUUCACUUAUAGCUAUCGAUCUUUAUAUAUAUAUUUCAAAAUUAAAUAACCAAUACUUAAUGGCAAUGCUUGCAUUUCUUCCUCUACAUCACCUUAUAUUUCUUUUUGAUAUAUGCUGAGAAUUUUCAUUUUGACUUCAGAUAUCUUCAGCCUUGUCAUUUCUAGUAUGCAAAUGAGUUCUCUGGUAAAACCUACGUUGCGGGAUACUCUUUCGCUCAUUGGACCUGAGAGGGAGGAUGAGCAAGUGAGGCAAUAUAUCAUUGAAGACUUGUGAGAUGUUUUUUGGACCGUGGAAAGUCUUAGAGGUAUUAAGACUUUAUAAGAGGCAGUGGCCUGUAUGUACCUAGUUGGAUAGUUUAUUUUGUACAUCCUUGAUUUCUGCAAGAAAUAGAACUUCUUAUUAAGACAAGAAAUGAAAUUUGUCAGGACUGAAGUUUUUUAUGGAAGUUUAUUAUUUUAAUUCUAUGUUGAUGCGCUUGACCUUUGUGAUGUCUUUUUUCUGACAUUACUAACUGGCAUAGGCCUAUGUUGCCUCAGAAACAUGGAUAAAGUAGUAUAGGAAUUGAAAUAUUCUCUGAUGAUUAAUAUUCCAUUAUUUUGUUUGUUGCUUAAUAAGAUGGUGUUCUAUCAUUUUCAAUUGAAAUGGUGUUAUGCCAACCAGAACUUAGAGCUAAACUGUUAUGCACAGGGGCCAUGGUGGAACCAUUUGGCUCUUAUGUAUCUAAGCAUUUGACCAGAACAUAUCUAUAGAGAUACAUAGAGGUCGCAUAUUUUAAAUAUUUGGAGAAACCAGAAGGAAAAUUUACCAGAAACUGUACUAGAAGCUCUCUGAAGUGAGGGUAACCUGCCUCCUUUUUAGUAAUCUGCUUGACAAUUGACAUAUAGGUGUGUUGACUAAAUCAUUGUGAGAUAAUUUUUUGAAGGUUGAUUUUGCAGGAAAAACUAGAGACCUCUUUCAGAAUUUAGCUGUUAAAAAUUCAGAUAACUUGACACUGAAUAGUACUUUAUUUUUUCCAUACAGGUUUGAGAACUGCAGCUGUUGAACAAAUUGCAAGAACAUUUGCUGCGGACAAAAACUGGUUUAAACGGUCUAGGCGGAGAAAUGAAAGUUCUCUGAUCUGCUCGUUUCAUUCUUUGCAAAGGUAUAUUUACACAUUUUCGGUUAAACUAUAUAUUCUGCUCUACAUUCAAUUUAUCUAAUAAAGUGGGAUGUUGGUAUGACUACUGGUGAACUUUUCUUUCCACAAUGAGAACUGGCAUUAGUAGCAAGAAUGCCGUGAUUAUAGCCUUAACACGUGGUCGCAGCAUUAGACCAACCCGAACCUAUUCAUGGCACAAUUUACAUUGGCAAAACCCGAAAAUGAUAUGAAACUGACUGUCGAACCUAACAUGAUCCUGAAAUGAGCAGUAAAAAGCACAAUAUCUUGCACUUUAUAAUGCAUGUGUGCGUGGUGUCUGCAGUGGAAGCAGCAGUAAUCAAUUUCACUGUAACGAAAAAACUUAUGUAUAUUUAUGAUCUUUUCAGUUCUCUGACAUUGAUAUGAGGGCCUCAGAACAAGGCAUCAAUCCUUACUCUGGACAGUACGAAGAUAUUGGGAGAAGCAUGGCAUGGCUGCCUCAGACAUUAGCACUCUAUGUAAUCCCACACACACAGAUUCCCUUGUGCUGGCGUGUUUCUCAUUGCUGGAGACUCUGUAGCUGCUUAAUCAAUGCAUGUUUAGCUCCUUUUUCACUUCUUACAAAUUUAUUCUUAGGUUAUGGAUCCUUUUGAGCAGCCUAAUAAUACUGCAAGGCCUAUUAGCAACAAAACCUUCAGACAGAAACACUGGGGGAAACUAUGACGGGAGUCAUCCACAGGUCAACAGAGAAGCAUCAGCACCAUCACAGUCGCAUCUAACUUAAGAUGUAAUGAAUGAUAAACGUUCUAACAAUGCGACUGUCAGCAGACCAGUGCAGCCAAUUCAAGCACAACAGAUCUGGAGGGCAAAACCCAAGAGCUAAAUUCCACGAGGAUGGACCUACAGCCUGCCUUCGUAUAUUAAUUAUUGAUAAAGAUAAUAUUGCUUAUUGUUAAUCAAGUCUUUAUAAAUGGUUUGUUGUAAAAAUAACAUUAUAACCAUUAAGUUUAAAGUCAAUGUAAAUGUUUUAAUAAAUUGUGUGUUGGCCUAGCUUUGUAGCCUGUGGUACAGGUAACAUUACUGUUGUGAGAGUUUCAUAUCAGGGGAAAUGAAUUUUAUUUUGCACUAAAAUUUCCCCUUUUAAAAACAACCACUCACGAUCACAAUCAUUUGGUUGGGUGGUUGGUUGGGUACGUGGUAUGAGAAAUUGGGUAUGGUUAGUUCAUACAUUUCAUUUUAGUGGAGAUACAUUUCAUUCCAUCACUGGAAUAGAUACGUGAUAGUCUAACUCUAUAUCCCUCUGGCCUGAUUUGUGAUUCCAAUUCUAUACCAGUCAGAGAACCAACCAAUUUUUAGAAAUCAUAUUUUCUGACACUAGCUUAUGAUUAUCCUUUUACUUAUUGUAGGAAUUGCAUGAGAUUGUACUAUUCAAUUUAAGUGCUGAGACAAUCGAAUAUCCUAACCCUAAAUUAUCAUUCAAAAAUCAUUUUGUCCCACUAUUUUGAAUAAUUCAAAUCGCACCUUAUUAGUUUAACCCGCGAGACAGUUUGCACCCCUUCCGUUAAAUAUACAUAAUUUUAUACUUUAAUGAAAUAUCAUUUUGAUAUUUUAAAAUAAUAAAACUAUAAUUAAAUAUCUCAAAAGUAUAAUACUCCCUCCGAUUCAAAAUAUAUGACGCUUUGACUUUUUGCACGUAUUUAAAAUCCUUUGACCAUGUACUUAUAUUUAUUAUUUUUAAAAUUUUAUUUUUUAAAAUAAAAGUAUAUAGUCAAAAUUUUAAAGUAUAAAUUCUUUUUAAAAGAAAUGAUGAAUCUAGAUGCUUGGUGAAAACACUUUGAAAUAUGUGUAAAAAGUCUGACAAAGAUGGCAGAUGCAUUUCGAGCUACACACAAUAUGCUUACAUCAAAUUAUUAUAACCAGGCUACCUUUUCCGCUACACUAAUUAGACAAGAUCGAUUGUCACCAGCGAGACGAUCUAUAUUCCGAAACAUGCCAGGAAACAACCGGAGUCACCCACAGGUGAACCAAGCUUCAUCAUCACAGUCACAAUCACACCAAACUCGGAAUUUCAGGAAUAAUAGAAGUUCCAACAAUGAAAAUAUGAACAGACCGGUGCAGACUCCUCAUAGUCAAACAAGGCAGAUUUGGAAGGCAAAACCAUCUUAAUCGAACUAAAAAUUUGUAACAGGUUACAUCACUGUUCGUAUUUGAUAUCGUAUUGUGUGUGGUGGUUGUUUGUAUUGUUUUGAUAAUUUAACACUACUGACGAAAUUGGUAAACAUACAAAAAAUAAUAGUAAUAGCGAUUGUUUUUACGCAUAAAAUUAGAUUUAUAUGAUAAUUGAAUCACUAAAAGAAUUAUAAAUUUAAAUCUUCUAAGUAAAUUUUAGUUAAGUUUAAUAUAAGUAUUAAUUAAUCUAAAUUAAAAUAAUAAAUAUUGUUGAGUCAUGUACAAAUCUAAAAAAUGCGACGAAGAUUGAUGAUUAUUAAAUAAUUUUGAUAUCGAAAAUAUAUAAUUAAUGGAAAUAAAAAUAAAUUAGUUAAUUAUUUAUUUGAGGAAUUGUGAGACCCGAAGAUGAGUUCUAAUUAGAUAAUGAAAAGGAGUCUAAUCAGAUGAGUUAUAAUUGGAUUAUGAAGAAAGUUUGAUUAAAUUAUAUUAUAAACUAAAAAGUUGGUUAAAUUAUGAUUAACUUGUAUGUGGUUAUAUUUUGGAUAAAAUUUAAUAUAAAUUUUUAGGUGUUGCUUCUGAUUGAUCAUAAGAUAAUUCAACUUUACUUACAUUAAAUUAAAUUUAUUUUAAAUUACUUAAAGUAAAUAUGAAAUUCUAUUAUUAUCUAAUCAAAUUAUCAUAUCAUUUUAUUAUAUAAUAUUCUAACUGGAUAGUGAAAAUGAGCCUAAUUAGAUGAGUUAUACUUAAUGAAAAUGAAGUGAUUAAUUAUAUUAUUAUAUUAUAUAAAAAAAUUGUAAUGAUUUACUCAUAGUUAAUAUCUUGGUUAAAAUUUAAUAAAAGCAAAGUUGUAGAAUGAACAUUAUUGGUCUAAAAUUUAGGGGUGAACUCUGAUUCGUACUAAAAUAAUUCUUAUUUACUCAUUGGUUAACUGCAUAAUAUUGUGGUACAAGGAAUGUUGAAAAAUUGAAUAUCACUGAUUUAAAAUUUAGUAAUAGCUUCUGAUUAAUUCUAAAAUAACUCCUUUUUUUUAGAGUAACUAAGAUAGGAAUUGGCAAAUGAUUGCCAAUGUCUAUGCGUCAUGACAUUUUUAGUUGCCAACUUAUUAGAGCUCCCUGAUUGCCAAUGAGUUGCUACUCAAAGUUGGCAACUACCUCGUUUAGCUAAAAACAAACUACAGUAUUAUCCAAAAACUAUAUUUUACCUUAACCAUUUAUGUAUUUGAAAUAGAUAUACAAUAUUUAUUUAGGGGAGCACAUUGACAAUUUUUAUAAUUGCCAAUUAUUGGAGUGUAUUUUACAAAGAGGUUGCAAAUGUGAUAUGAAGGAGAGAUAAAAUAAAAAAUUAAUAUAUAUACCGAGUUGGCAAGACUUAGCAACUAUUUUAGCAACCCUUGUUGGAGAUGGUUAACUGCCAGUUUUGACGGGAAAAAACGGCAUACUGUAGUAUAGUUGGGUGUUAUAAUAAAUGUUUAUCCAAUUAGAAAAGUGAAAUUAGUUUGGGAUUAAUCAAAGGUCACCCCUGUAUUUUAGACCAAUAAUGUUCAUUCUUCAAAUGAGAUUUUAAUAUAUUUUAUACUCCCUCCGUCCCACAAUACAAAUCUUUUUUGUAAAAAAUAUUUGUCCCAUAAACUUGUUAACUUUUAGUCUCCAAUGCAAAUAUAUUGACAAUAUUCCAAAACUACCCUUCUUGAAAAUGCAUGACAAUUAAUGAGGAUUGAAUAGGAGUCUACAUUCAUUCAUUAAUUAGAGGUACAAGUAAGAAAAUAUUAUCUAAUUAAUUAAUGAGUUCUUAAUAUGCGCAACUUUUACAAAAGAGACUUGUAUGUGGAACGGAGGGAGUAUAGUUUAUGAAUAUUAAUUAAUUGUAUCUGAUUUUGAUUUUAUUCGGAUUCUUUAUAAAAUAUCGCAAAGAUGACUAGAGUCUUUAGUAUUUAAGCACAAUGUUUCGAAAUCUCAUGGAUUUAGGUGGAAUAUCAAAUAUCUUAAAAUACACACAAUCUCAAAAAAAAAAAAAUCAUCAUUUUAUGAAGUCCAAAAAAAAAUCAUCACCAUUUGAAUACAAUCAAUUUUUAAUAUAUUUAAAAAAAUCUCAAUUGAAUACCUUCGAAAUUUGAAGUAUAAUUUAAAAAUCAUGAUUAAAUACCACUAGUUUUUCUAAAUAAUUUAAAAUCUUAAGUGAAUUUCCAAGAUUGUGAUAAUUUUUGAAAAUCAGAUUUGAAUCCCCUCAAAUUUAAUGAAUGAAAAAUAUCUUUUAAAAUCUCAAUUAAAUGUACCCCUAAUAAAUGUGGUAGAUGAAAAAAAUCUUUAAAAAUCUCAAUUAAUUAUACCCCUAAUAAAUGUGGUGCAUAAAAAAAUCCCUUUAAAUACCCUAUAUGAAUUGACACCAACCCAUGAACAUGUCAAUUUUCUGAAUUCCUAGGAAAGCUCAACCCUAGUUAUGAUCCACACAUCUAUUUAUCGAUUUCCCAUAUUCAUUUUGUCGCCGCCUUGUCAAAUUUUUUUUAGUGCAUUUUGUCGAACACUCGGUGGAGAUGAAUGGUUCUCCACAUGUUCCAUGUGUAGUCACUUUAACAAACUUAUUAAAUAAUGAAGAAAAUUUCAGCAAACAAAAUAAAAACAAUGAAGAAAAUGCUCAUUAAAAAUCAAACACAAAAAUAGCUUCCCCCCUUCUGUGGGGCUUGUUUUGCUCCCAAUCAACUCCAAUUUUUCAGGUUGUGAGAAUAUUUUGAGCUCAAGUCCCAAGAAAUUUGAAAGAGAAGUUGGAUAUAUGAAGCAAUCAAGGCCUCAACAUAUAGUGUUCCAAGGGACAAGAUGUUGAUCUUGGUGUUGUGAUACAAACAAACUUGUUUUUUCAUGGGAUGGGGGUAACUAUCACUCUUAAAGAUAUUACGCAUUUAAGGUCUUUGUCUGUUUUAGGUUGCUCAAUUUCAACUCUCUGUGUUGAUGAAUGUGUUCAUGUUUAUAAAUGUUUGAGAAAUGAAAUAAGCAAGUUAAAUUUGCUAGUGGUGGAUCUGUGAAUCCUUCUACAUGGAUGGAGUAUUUUAUGAAUAGUGUUAAGGAUGUAAAUAUGUAAUGUUGCCAUUCAUUUGUCUAGAGGUAAUAGGGUUGCCUUUGCGCCCGUUGUUUUUGCAUGUAUUUAUGGAAAUAUUGAUUUAUAACACGUGUCAUCCACGAGUGAUUUAUAAUAUUUGUAAUUUUAUCGUUUAUUUCUUAAAUCUAAUUUUUAAAAAGGAUAUUUAAUUAUAUAAAAAAAGAAAAAUUGAUUAUAUAAGAAGAUCCAUAAUUCGACCGAAGUACUGAACGACCAAAAUUUUAAUAUUUCAACUUUAUUAAUAUAAUAUAGAAGUAUAGAUGAGAGUGUUAGGACGGACCCAAUUUUGUAAAAUUGCAAGGGCUGAACCAAAUUUUUUUUACCAACGUUGUAAAAUUUAAUAAGUCGCCCAACGAAAUGAUGUCUUGACAUCCCAAUAUUUUCUUUUGUUGGUUUUCAUGUACCAUUGUAAAUGAGUGCUAAGAUCUGUAACCCGAUGCAAGUCGAACAAUAUCCUCAAAUGAUGUCAAAUUUAAGAUACCCAAAAAAAUUGAGUAUUGCAUUAAUAUUAUCUUAGUGAUGUCUUACAACACCUGAACAUCUUGUACAUGUGUCUUAUUUUCAAGACAUUGCAUUAAAAAUUAGUUUCAUUAGAAAAAUAGCAUGAGAUUUCAUUAGAUAAUAUAAUAAAACCAAGACGAAGAACAUAAUUAAUAAAAUUACAUUAUAUUAUAACUAGUAAAAAGAAUAUUGUGCGAUCACAUAGUUGAUAAAUAAUAGAGUACUUUUAAAAAAAAUUCUAAUAUUAAAUUUCGAUAUUGUAAAAUGAUACUUUAUUUCCAAUUAUAUAUACAAUAUUAUACAUGUUAGAAAUAUAAAAUUUUAAUACUAAAUUUAUAUCUGAAUUUUUAAAUUUAAAACCUCUAUUUAUAUCUGAUUUUUUGUUAAAGUUUAGACUUAUAAUUUUUCCUUUUUAUGCAUCUAAUUCGCCAAUAAGAGAGAGUUUUGACAUUUUUCAUUUAAACCAUAUGCAGAUCUAGCAAACCCAAUCAUGUAUCACAGGACUCAGUUAUUUUAUCUACAGGGCUGAUAGAAUAAGAAGAGUUAGGAUUUUGACCCGGAUCGGAGCCAACCUCAACCCAGCCCGAGUGUUGAAUUAGGGCUAUAACCUAGAUCAACACGGUGGCACGGAGUCACAAAGUUGAAAGUUUCACGGUUUGUGAAGCUUCUUGAAGCUUUUAGAUAUCUAAAAGCUGGAUCAAUUAUACAAUUCUAUCUUCGCAUCAUUCGAUUCUUGUUUUUAGAUAGGGUUAAUUAUCAACUAGGUCAUUUAUUACACUAGAAAAUAUCAAGUGGAUCACUCAGAAAUUUUUGGUCUCAUUUGAAUGACUAAAGUCAUAAAAAAUAUCAAAUAGAUACCUCUAAUAUCUUUUCGAGAAGUAAUCUUUAUUUUUCGUUGAGUUCCACACAUUUUUCUUGGCUGUUAGUAUAAUCAUAUGAAAAGAUAUGAAUUCUUGUAUGUAUCGUAAUAUAUUUAGAUUUUAAGAAAUUUAUUUAUUAUUUAUUUGAUAUAAAUCAAACAAAAUAAUUGUAAAAUUAAAAAUAAAUAGUAAAUAAAUUUCUUAAAAUCUGAAGAUAUUAACAUAAAUACUGGAAUUCAUAACCUUUCAUUUGAUUAUAAUAACAACCAAGAAAAAUGUAUGGAACUCAAUGAAAAAUAAAGUUUAUUUCUCGAAAAGAUAUUAGAGGUAUCUAUUUGAUAUUUUUUAUGACUUUGGUGAUCCAAAUGAGAUCAAAAAUUUCCGAGUGAUCCACUUGAUAUUUUCUGGUGUAUAAAGUGACCUGGUUGAUAAUUAACCCUUUUUAGAUUUAAGCAAAGAAUGUUCUUUUGACUUUAAGACAUGUUUAAGAUAUGUUUAGUCACCGCCUUAGUCGAAUUUUCGCUAGCGCCUCUUGUCGAUCAUUUGGCGGAGAUGAAUGGUUCUCCACCUGUUCGAUGUGUAGUUGUUCCACUUUAUCAAGCUUCUUAAAUAAUGAAGAAAAUGCUCCAGUAAAUAUCGAGAUUCGAGCCGUAAUGACUCCUUUUAAGGUAAUACUUUUUUUUUCCUUUUUGUCAUUUAAUCGACGCCUUUUAAACAGUGCUAUGGUGCUUGCUAUUGAGACGAAUUAGUUGUUAUUUUUUUGCGAUUUAGGGCGGAGAGGAUUGAGAGUGCUUUUCAUUUAAGAUUGGGAUGAAGCAUCGUAUCGAUUGGGUGGUUAUUUUGUACUCUUGGCCACUUUAGAUUGAUUAAAUCGAGACAUCUAAAAGCUGAUAUUAUAUGAUGAUACUUGCAAUUUUAUAUGUGCACAUCCGAUACUUGUUUUUUGAUAUAAGCAAAGGAUGUUGUUUUUGACUUUAAGAUAUCUUUAGUCUUGUCUGGUGGUAUUUAAACCGUUUUGGUAUUUGCAGAUGAGUUCCUACGGUCAGGUGGACCAUGCUCCUCAGAGUAUUCUCCCUGGUUGUUCAGAGGGUGGAAGAAAUCUCAGAGGUAUAAGAGGUUUAUAGCAAGUAGUAGCUCCCUCGCAUAAUAUUUACUUCCUCUAUUCCUUUAGGAAACAAAAUUAAUAUUCAUAUUAACACAUGAAAUGAGAUUGUCAGGAUUGAAGUUUAUUGUAGCAGUUUCUUUAUUUUAUUCUAUCAUGUGUUAUAGAAAGCCUUAUGGGCACCGAAUUUAAGCUCUUGAGCCUUUCCUUAUUUAUCAAUCCUUUGGUGUUGUGGUACAAAUACUUUUUUUUUCCAUGGGGUGAGGUAACUAUCAGUCUUGAAAAUAUUGUGCAUUUAGGGUGUCUGUCGUUUUUAGGUUGCUCUAGUUCAACCCCAUGUGAUGAUGAAUGUGUUGAUGUUUAUAAUUGUUUGAGAAGUGAAAUUAAGAGUGUUAAAUUUACUAAUGCUGGAUCUGUGACUCUUCAAUGUGGAUGGAGUAUUUUAUGAAUAGUGGUAAGGAUGUAGAGCAUGAAGCAUUUCUUGUAUUUUGGCUGUGUAAGUUUGUUUUUGUGCGCACUCAGAUACUUGUGCAGGAUUUGAAUGUUGCUUUUCAUUUGUCUUAAUAGGGUUGCCCUUGCUCCUGUUCUUGUUUGUAUUUAUAGAGAUAUGAGGGUGUUACAUAAUGCAAUGGUUAAGCCUGUCGAAUUAGGGUCUGGAAUUGGUCUGAAGUUCACUAUAUGGCACUACGACUUAGUGCAGAUGUGGGUUUGGGAGAGGUUUGUGGAAUUGAGGCCAAAGCCAAAUGUCAUAGAACGGGGAGACCCUAGAUCAGCACGGUGGAAUGGAGUCACAAAGUUGUAAGUUUCACGAUUUGUGAAGCUUUUUGAAGCUUUUAGACAUCUAAAGCGGUAAUCAAUAAUAUGCAAUUCUAUCUUCGCAUCAUUCAAUUCUUGGUUUUAGAUAUAAGCAAAGAAUGUUCUUUUUGAGUUUAUGAUAUCUUUAGUCUUAUUUAGACCGUUUUGGUAUUUGCAGAUGAGUUCCUACAGGCUACAGUCAAGUGGAUCAUGCUCCUCAGAGUAUUCUUCUUGGCUGUUGAGAUGGUGGAAAAUCUCAAAGGUAUAAGAGGUUUAUAGCUGGUAGUAGCUCGCUCGCAUAUAUUUACAUCCUCUCUAUUCCUUUAGGAAACAAAAUUAAAUAUUAAUAUUCAUAUUAAGACAUGAAAUGAGAUUGUCAGGCCUGAAGUUUAUUCUGGCAAUGACAUUGGGUCAAUUAGGGUUCUCCCUUUUUGAUGUCGUUGGAAGCUGAUUUCCUCUUUUUAUUUGGGGUUAUAAAUUGUAUUUUUGUUUUAGGGUUUACUUUUUUGGGCGCUAAAACCGGCCCAAUAACAUUAUUUACGUUGCACUUUUCUUAGCUUCAAUAAAGCAAGCUUUUCUAAUUGCUUCGUGCCUGGCCGUGCUUUGCACUUCAUGGCCUCCAACGCGCGCUUGUUUGAAGUUGGGUCAAGUGUGUAGAUGUUCCAUGAUGAUUAAUUAUUUAUCUAUUUUAAGCGUUCCUUAAUUGGAGAAAAUGUAGUAAUUCUGUUUGUUACAAUUAUAAUGGUGUUAUGCCUUGAAAAACCACUAUUUAACUGUUGUACACAGGUGCAAUGGUGGAGUCAAACUAUUUGGCUCGUUUGUAGCUGAACUAUUCACGAAAUGGUGAGAUUUGGAUAUAUCCAUAGAGAUACAUGUUUUCAUAUCUCAAGCACAGCAAGAAAGCAGAAGGAAAGUUUGCUUGCAGAUUUACUAGUAGCUCUUAGAAAGAAAGGUAAUCUUUUUUCAAGAUAUGGAACUCCAUGCAUAUUGUGAAAUUGUUGCUGUCCUUGUGAUAUCUCACAUUAUGUAGUAAAACAAUCAAUUUAUCAAAUUCCAAAUACUCGUUCUCCGCAUCAUCCUAUACUUUUUUCUUAAGUUGAGGAUCUUUUUGAGAAGCCUGUUAAACCUGCAAGGGCUGUUGCCAACAACCAUCUGACAAGAAUGGUUGAUGCAUUUCGAGCUUAACAUAAUAUGCUUCCAUCAAAUUAUCAUAAUCAGGCUACUGUCUCCCCACACUAAUUAGACAAGAUCGACUGUCAUCUGCAAAACGGUCACCGGACAGAAAGGAACAUGGAAAAAACCGGUGGCGUCCACAGGUACACCGAUCAUCAUCAUCAUUAUUAUCAGUGUCAAACUCAGAAUUUAAAGAAUAAUAAGCAUUCAUUUUCUGUGUUGAUUGAUUGUAUAGUUUUGGUAAGCAUCCAAGACCACUGAUGAAGUCUGUAAAAUUAUUUUCUUUAUAUCUCAUUCCAUCAGAAAUUUGAUAAGCCAAAGAGUGAGUAGUUUGGGCGAAUAUGUGAACACUUAGUAGUUUUAGCAAUAUAUUUUUGGAUCAUAUGCUUUUGAUAAUUUUCAUUCGAAGCAUAAGCAAUUUCAGAACUUAGGAUUGUUUAAUCUUACUUUCCUUUGAAAUCACACUUAAUUAAUUUAAACUUCAUAUCUAAAUAUUGAACGAUGGUAGAAUGAAUAUGUAAUCUAGAAAUUAAUAAAAUUAAAUUCUUGAAACAUUCUAUAUCAUUUGUGUAACACUAUGUUUCAUGAACAACAUAGAUUAGGUCAACUUUCCUGCUCUUCAUGAACCCUAAGAGAAAAUGUGUUCGUCUUUGAGAGAAAAAAUCUGACAAAUCAAUAUCAGGUCAGAAAUUAUUUACGCAAUUAUAAUUAGUAGUAUUUAUUGAAUCCGCGUGUUUAUGUUGUAAUUGCAUAAAAAUCAUUGACCGAACGUCAGUGGUUACAGAAAAUUAUACUUGCAUGAUACACUAAACCUGGAGAACCACUGGUUAAACAGGAUUAAUAUUGUUGACAAUGUGUAGCUGUGACAGUUUAACAAAUAGGAAAGCUUGUGAACACUUUAAAACAAGAGAAUCAUGGACAAAAGACUUCUUUAGAUUUACUAAUUAUCAGAAGACUUGUGGAAUGUAUGUUAGUUUUAUACUCCAAAUUUGGUGGAAGUUCAGAAAAAAGACAUUUGAUCGAGACGAUAUUGUGAAUGUGGCAAUCCCGAUAGACUGAUCAAUUCAUGGAAUACUACUUGUAGUUAAAUAAUGAAGAAAAUGCUCCGUCAAAGAUGAGGCGUAAUGACUCUUUUUAAGGUAAUAUACUUUUCUUCUUAUUUAGUUGAUGUCUCUUAAACAUUUUUGCCGAAAACUGUGUGACUAAAUGUGAAAGAAUUAUCGAGACGAAGAAUUAGUUAAUAAUACAAAUCUAAAUUAUUUGUGUAGAGGAUCUCGAUUAAUUACUUACCCCAAUUGGCAGCACAAGGAAUACUAGUACAACAACGUUGGAGUUUGACCAACUCCAGAGUUUUGACUACGAUGAUACCAUCAGUCUCCUAUGCCCCGUCUCUUCAGUUGGUUCUCUUGAAUUAGGGGUGGCCUGGUAAUUUUGGUAAGUCCUUUUUUUUAAAUCCCAACUGUAUACAUUUUUUUCUUCCCGCAUGUCGCAGCGCACGCAUCCCCCAAAUUAAAGAAUUGUUUAACAAAGAUCAGUCUUGGAUCUGCUAGAUUAUCAUGUGUGUAUUUCCAUAUGAUUAUAUCAUCAACUGGCCAACUUGGAUUGGUUCAAUUUAUACAAAGGCAUUCUAUAUUACUCUACUGCCGUCAAAUGGAGAUAUAAAGAUUCUUCAUUAUUAUCAAAUUACCUUAAUGCUUAAACUAGAUAAUUUAAUUAUAGCUAUCGAUCUUUAUAUAUAUAUUUCAAAAUUAAAUAACCAAUAGUUAAUGGCAAUUCUUGCAUUUCUUCCUCUACAUCACCUUAUAUUUCUUUUUGAUAUAUGCUGAGAAUUUUCAUUUUGACUUCAGAUAUCUUCAGCCGUGUCAUUUCUAGUAUGCAAAUGAGUUCUCUGGUAAAACCUACGUUGCGGGAUACUCUUUCGCUCCUUGGACCUGAGAGGGAGGAUGAGCAAGUGAGGCAACAUAUCAUUGAAGACUUGUGAGAUGUUUUUUGGACCGUGGAAAGUCUUAGAGGUAUUAAGACUUUAUAAGAAGCAGUGGCCUGUAUGUCCCUAGUUGGAUAGUUUAUUUUGUACAUCCUUGAUUUCUGCAAGAAAUAGAACUUCUUAUUAAGACAAGAAAUGAAAUUUGUCAGGACUGAAGUUUUUUAUGGAAGUUUAUUAUUUUAAUUCUAUGUUGAUGCGCUUGACCUUUGUGAUGUCUUUUUUCAGACAUUACUAACUGGCAUAGGCCUGUGUUGCCUCAGAAACAUGGAUAAAGUAGUAUAGGAAUUGAAUUAUUCUCUGAUGAUUAAUAUUCAAUUAUUUUGUUUGUUGCUUAAUAAGAUGGUGUUCUAUCAUUUUCAAUUGAAAUGGUGUUAUGCCAACCAGAACUUACAGCUAAACUGUUAU
rnacentral:lncRNA from 1 species